UUCAGGGACUGCACAUGUUAAUUCCACCCACUGUGGCAGCAAAUGAUCAAACCCGAGGAUCAGACAAGUGCUGAAAAGCCCUGGGCAGACACCAAUUAUUCCAAUCAGUUAAUCAGUGCCCCGGAUAGCAGACAGAGCAGCGCAGCUUCCUUCUCGGCUUUGCAUAGUAAUGGGGGAGAGGAAACUCGCAUCGUCUUUUCAUCCCCUUUCCGGGGCAACGAGAACUGAUCGGCUCCGUUCAGACCUUUCAGAUUCCCCACUCUGUGGUUCCCUGGAAAGCGACUCCCAAACCAGAAGGCCAGAAGAACGGAAAAUCCUCCUACGUGGCUCAGCAUAGAUGCAACCCUAUGAAGGGCAGCAGGUUCGGGGCCGUUGUUUGGACCGCCCCUCCCAGUGUGACAAGCUGCCCAUUGGACAGCCACCAUGGAGUGUGACUGUGGGACUGUCUGACUGAAAUGUUUCUGUCCUUUUCAUCUUAGGAAAAGUUUUCUUUUUUUUAAAAAAUGUAAAAUUUAAUUUAAAAAUAGAGGCGCUCAAAUAAAUCAAUCCCUUUUCUAUCCUCUU